rnacentral:rRNA from 1 species
GUGAGGAAUAUUGGUCAAUGGGCGGGAGCCUGAACCAGCCAAGUCGCGUGAAGGAAGAAGGAUCUAUGGUUCGUAAACUUCUUUUGCAGGGGAAUAAAUGCGGGACGUGUCCUGUUUUGUAUGUACCCUGAGAAUAAGGAUCGUCUAACUCCGUGCCAGCAGCCGCGGUAAUACGGAGGAUCCGAGCGUUAUCCGGAUUUAUUGGGUUUAAAGGGUGCGUAGGUGGUUUGAUAAGUCAGCGGUGAAAGUUUGCAGCUUAACUGUAAAAAUGCCGUUGAAACUGUCGGACUUGAGUGUAAAUGAGGUAGGCGGAAUGCGUGGUGUAGCGGUGAAAUGCAUAGAUAUCACGCAGAACUCCGAUUGCGAAGGCAGCUUACUAAGCUACAACUGACACUGAAGCACGAAAGCGUGGGGAUCAAACAGGAUUAGAAACCCCGGUAGUCC